rnacentral:rRNA from 1 species
UGGGGGAUUUUGCACAAUGGGCGCAAGCCUGAUGCAGCGACGCCGCGUGAGGGAUGAAGGCCUUCGGGUUGUAAACCUCUUUCGCUGGGUUGAAAGGCCAUGCUUUGGGUGUGGUUGAUUUGAACUGGUAAAGAAGUACCGGCUAACUACGUGCCAGCAGCCGCGGUAAUACGUAGGGUACUAGCGUUGUCCGGAUUUAUUGGGCGUAAAGGGCUUGUAGGUGGUUUGUCGCGUCUGUCGUGAAAUCCUGUGGCUUAACCAUGGGCUUGCGGUGGGUACAGGCAGGCUUGAGUGCGGUAGGGGAGACUGGAAUUCCUGGUGUAGCGGUGGAAUGCGCAGGUAUCAGGAGGAACACCGGUGGCGAAGGCGAGUCUCUGGGCCGUUACUGACACUGAGGAGCGAAAGCGUGGGGAGCGAACAGG